UGGUCUUGUAGCUGCACGAAAAAUGGAAGUCCACAACCCAAAUUGAACAUGCGGAGCUUCUUCUUCCUGGAUUUCAUUGGGUGAUCUGUGCUGCGCAUCCAGUCAAGAUCCCUUGUCUUACUGAAGGUGUGCGUGUUUGGAAGUCACGAGAUGAAGUACACACGCCUUCAGCCAAAAAGAGUCUGCUUACAACAAUGGAGGUGGAAAUUAUGUGCAACUGAGUUGUCGGUUGCAUCGACUCAACUUAGUGCAAGAGCAAAGAUGCUCGGAUCUGAGUACAAGGGAGCUGGAGAUUGUCAUUUCGGAGAAGGCUUAGGUAUUGCUGUUGUUGCCCUUUCUCACGUGGUCUGCAAAAUCUCUAAAUACAGCUUUCAUUGGUCGCGUGGGAGAGCGAUUGAGAUGUCGGGAUCAUAAACCAAGUGGCAGCAAAGAGAGGAAGCGAAUUGAGGCAUAGCAGCAUCAGGAGGAUAUGUCUAUGAUGGGUACCUGAAGGGCCACUCAGCGCCGAGCCGAAGCUAAUGAGCAUGGAUCAGACUGAAGAAGAUAAUUUCCUGGUCGUAGGGGGUGAUGAAACUUGGGAUGUGUUUAGGAGUCAGAAUGCUGCAGAUUUCGCGUGUAGGAGACUUUCAGGAGCACAAUGACCUAGUUAUGUGUUGUAAGGAUGUGGUAGACGAGGAUUUGAAGAGGAAGAGUGGGGAUAAUUUUGCAGCAGCGGUUGUCUGUUUUCAAC